CUUCUCUGUUUUUGUUGCAGUUUUCACCAUCCUUGACCAUGUCAUUAUACCACUCAGAAAGGUCUUAUUGUUGUUCAGUCAUUUUUCACCCUGUUCAGGGUUUUCUUGGCAAAGACAACAGAGUGGUUUGCCAUUUCCUUCUCCAGUUCAUUUGACAAUGGAGAAAAUUGAGCCAAACAGGGUUAAGUGACUUGCCCAGGGUCACACAGCUAGUGUCUGAGGUCAGGUUGAACUCAGGAAGAUGAAUCUUUCUGACUCCAAGCCUGGCACUAUCCACUGUACCACCUAGCUGCCAAGAAACUCUAGGAGUUCCCUACUUACUGCCUUCAGGAUAUAAUUCAAACUCCUCCCUUUGGCAUUUAAAGUCCUGAACAAUUUGUGGUCAGGACCUUUCUAGGUCCAUUAUAGCUAACUCCCUGCACACCCUCCACAUGCCAGCUGAAAGGGACUCCUGCUCUUACUUAUAAAAGACAUUGCUUCUCCUGUCCCCUUUGCCCUUGUACAGGCUGUCCCCUCGUGCCUGUAUGUACUCCUUGGCAUCUUGUAAGACUCAGCUCAAAUAACUGUAAGCUACACAAUGAUCCCUUCAAGUGCUAGUAUCUUCCUAGUCCCCUCAAUUACUUUGUAUAUAUUUUGUAUUUCUUUACUUGUAGACAUGCUUCAUGGACUCUAAGCUGAAUUCCUCGAGGGCAAGGACAUUGUCAUUUUUCCUUUCCUAUCCCUUAGUGUCUAGCUAGGAGGUAAGUACAAGUUGGAGUCAACCAGCCUGAGGCAAUUAGAUGACUCAAUGGACAGAAAGUCAGGUCUAGGAUGGAAGGUGCUGGGUUCAAAUCUGCCUUCAGACAUUUUGUAGCUGUGGGACCCACUUACACACUUCUGCUUUGGAGCCAAUAUUGAUUCUAAGACAGAAGAUCUUCAUCUAGUAAUUGUGAUCUAGCAGCAUUGGUGAACCUUUUAGAGAUUCUGUGCACAAACUACACCUUCAAGCUGCCUGUGAGCCCCCAGCAUUGCCCAAGACAACAGAAGGAGGAAGUGCACAUUGGGCAGCUGGGCAGAGGAGUGGAGCAUGCAAAAAAUGAGCAGCCCUCUCCAGCACCCCAGGGCAUGGGUACCACAUCUUUGCCAACACAGUCGUAUGGUAUCUCAGUAUUACAGGUAAGGAAACUGAGGCAGACAAUGAUUAAGUGACUUUCCCAGUGUUUGUAGGCAGAAUUUGGACUCAGGUCUUACUGGCUCCUGGUCCAGUACUCUAGCAGUCUGUUUUGAACAAGAAAUUAUGCCCCAGGCAUAAAGUAAAUAUAGUCAGACCCAAUUCCUAACUCAUAAAUGUUUGAAUAAACAAAUAAAUGAGUUUCA
rnacentral:lncRNA from 1 species